rnacentral:rRNA from 1 species
GACGAACGCUGGCGGCGUGCUUAACACAUGCAAGUCGAGCGGUAAGGCCCUUUCGGGGGUACGACGAGCGGCGAACGGGUAGAGUAACACGUGGGUGACCUGCCCUCAGCUCUGGGAGUAAGCCUCGGGAAACCGGGUACUAAUACUGGAUAUGACUCCAUGACGCAUGUUGUGGGGUGGAAAGCCUUGUGCGGCUGAGG